rnacentral:lncRNA from 1 species
GGAUGAGGUAGGGAAGAAAUGGGCAAUAAAUACACUUUUUAGCAAAGGAAUCAGCAGCUGGAGAUGACACAGUAGAGAACUAAACACAGAAAAUGGGAACAGUUGCAGUCCUGCAGGGAAGUUGGCUUGGAUUCUGUGGUGGAAAGUGCUAGCACAAUGCCAACACUGCUGUGGGAUUUGUAGAAUCUUCUCUAGAUAAUUGUAGCAGAUUCAGACCAACCUAUUUGCAGCCCAUAUAAUUGAGAGUGAGCAGCAGAGAACCUUCUUGGUUUUCAGGCACUGAUCCCUUAACCAAGCUACCCGCCACCACCGACGUGGUACAUCUGUUGGUCUGUUUGGGGAGAAAAUAUGGUCUCAAAUGCAUCUCCAGUCUGGGGUGCUGGACCCAAAGGCUCAAUCCUCCAGCCAAAGCAUUGUUGAGGGGGCAGGAAGAAGCUCUUUGGAUUUGGCCAAAUCAGUAAAGAAAGCAAUGAAAGAAACACUAAUGCUUCACCUGCCAGGAGAAGGUUUACUACAGCUGCUCAAAGAAAAUAGACCCAGAAUAAGAAAAUGUCCACUUGGAUUUAGGAAACUAGCAAAUUCAUUCAGAUCUAGAGUGAUGCUUCUAAAACACACAGUGAAAAUGCACAUCAAAGUGAGAGGGAGAGAGAGAGCGAGCAAGAUUCUUUCUCACUUUCUUGGGUAAUAGUGCAGUUUUGUAUCAAUGCUCCUUUACUCAUAGGCCAUCAUUAUUGUGUUCAAUUUUAGUAUGUAGUAUACCCACUCAGAAAUUAGUCUUUUUAAUGCCACAUUAUACUAGCAUUGCUGCUGACCUACUGGACACCUGAAUCUUAGUUGUGGUGGACAAGUAAAAUCCAUACAACCUAGAUAUUUAUCUCUAAAAAUACCCAGAAGGAUUCUUUAUUUGAUGGUUUUAUGAAGAAAAUAAAAAAAUUAUCUGAAAAUGACUGAAUCUGAAU